rnacentral:rRNA from 1 species
GUCCAAGGCCAUGCUACCCUGAACAAGCCCGAUCCCGUCUGAUCUCGGAAGCUAAGCAAGGUCGGGCGUGGUUAGUACUUGUAAUGGGAGACCACCUAGGAAUACUAGGUGCUGUAGGUG